AAAUGAAUUGACGGGGGCCCGCACAAGCAGUGGAGUAUGUGGUUUAAUUCGAAGCAACGCGAAGAACCUUACCAGGGCUUGACAUCCCUUGACCGCUGUAGAAAUACAGUUUCCCUUCGGGGCAAGGAGACAGGUGGUGCAUGGUUGUCGUCAGCUCGUGUCGUGAGAUGUUGGGUUAAGUCCCGCAACGAGCGCAACCCCUGUCGUUAGUUGCCAGCACGUAGAGGUGGGCACUCUAGCGAGACUGCCGGUGACAAAUCGGAGGAAGGUGGGGACGACGUCAAAUCAUCAUGCCCCUUAUGUCCUGGGCUACACACGUACUACAAUGGUUGCUACAGAGGGCAGCGAAGCCGCGAGGUGGAGCAAAUCCCUAAAAGCAGCCCCAGUUCGGAUUGCAGGCUGAAACUCGCCUGCAUGAAGUCGGAAUUGCUAGUAAUGGCAGGUCAGCAUACUGCCGUGAAUACGUUCCCGGGCCUUGUACACACCGCCCGU
rnacentral:rRNA from 1 species